rnacentral:rRNA from 1 species
UACAGAGGGUGCAAGCGUUGUUCGGAAUUAUUGGGCGUAAAGCGCGUGUAGGCGGCUUGGCAAGUCGGGUGUGAAAUCCCUCAGCUCAACUGAGGAAGUGCGCCCGAAACUGCUUGGCUUGAGUACCGGAGAGGAUGGUGGAAUUCCCGAAGUAGAGGUGAAAUUCGUAGAUAUCAGGAAGAACACCCGUGGCGAAGGCGGUUCUCUGGGACGGUACUGACGCUGAGACGCGAAAGCGUGGGGAGCGAACAGG